GGGCCGUUAGCUCAGUCAGUUUAGCAUGGCGCCAACAACACCAAGGUCGCGGGUUCAAUUCCCGUUCGGUCCC
rnacentral:tRNA from 1 species